rnacentral:rRNA from 1 species
UACGUAGGGACCGAGCGUUGUCCGGAAUUAUUGGGCGUAAAGAGCUCGUAGGCGGCUUGUCACGUCGGGUGUGAAAGCCCGGGGCUUAACCCCGGGUCUGCAUUCGAUACGGGCUAGCUAGAGUGUGGUAGGGGAGAUCGGAAUUCCUGGUGUAGCGGUGAAAUGCGCAGAUAUCAGGAGGAACACCGGUGGCGAAGGCGGAUCUCUGGGCCAUUACUGACGCUGAGGAGCGAAAGCGUGGGGAGCGAACAGG